rnacentral:misc_RNA from 1 species
UCCGAGUUGACCCCGGCAGUCUCCUACGAGUCCCCGGCAUUACCCGCUGGCAACAUAGGACAAGGGUUGCGCUCGUUGCGGGACUUAACCCAACAUCUCACGACACGAGCUGACGACAACCAUGCACCACCUGUGUACCGCCCCGAAGGACACCGUAUCUCUACGGCUUUUCCCCACAUGUCAAACCCAGGUAAGGUUCUUCGCGUUGCAUCGAAUUAAGCAACAUGCUCCGCCGCUUGUGCGGGCCCCCGUCAAUUCCUUUGAGUUUUAAUCUUGCGACCGUACUCCCCAGGCGGUGUGCUUAAUGCGUUAGCGCCGGCACGGGGGGAGUCGACACCCCCCACACCUAGUGCCCAUCGUUUACAGCGUGGACUAC